CCUACGGGAGGCAGCAGUGAGGAAUAUUGGUCAAUGGACGAGAGUCUGAACCAGCCAAGUAGCGUGAAGGAUGACUGCCCUAUGGGUUGUAAACUUCUUUUAUAUGGGAAUAAAAUGUUCCACGUGUGGGAUUUUGUAUGUACCAUAUGAAUAAGGAUCGGCUAACUCCGUGCCAGCAGCCGCGGUAAUACGGAGGAUCCGAGCGUUAUCCGGAUUUAUUGGGUUUAAAGGGAGCGUAGGUGGAUUGUUAAGUCAGUUGUGAAAGUUUGCGGCUCAACCGUAAAAUUGCAGUUGAAACUGGCAGUCGUGAGUACAGUAGAGGUGGGCGGAAUUCGUGGUGUAGCGGUGAAAUGCUUAGAUAUCACGAAGAACUCCGAUGGCGAAGGCAGCUCACUGGACUGCAACUGACACUGAGGCUCGAAAGUGUGGGUAUCAAACAGGAUUAGAUACCCCUGUAGUC
rnacentral:rRNA from 1 species